CUUAGCUUUCUCUGACUUCUCAAACUUAAUUGGAUCCAUAACUGAUGUAGACUCAACAAUUUCAGCUAAUCCUUUUUCCAAAUCCUUCACAGUUGACUCAGGUUUAUCCUUGGUGACUGAGGCAUCCUUUAAUAGCUUCUCAUCAGUACGGAUAUCCUCCAGACUAAGAACUCCAAAGUGUGCAAGCAUCCACACCUUCCAUAAUGUGAAAUCCCUACCAUCGAACUGAUCCACUUCUGUGCGUGUAUUUGACAUCACGUGUGAAUCAGAUAACCUUUCUCUCCUUGAACUGUAUCCUCCUAAGUAACUUUCAGAACCUGGUUCUAUGAUACCAGUUGUAGAGAUUAAAAUUAGGUUUACUUAGGAUUCAAGUUAACUUUGACCUAGAACUAAAGUUUGAAAGUAAUGAUACAAUCAAGUUUAACGAGUUCCCGGCUUCUAGCCAGUACAUCUCCUGGGAGAACUUCUGC
rnacentral:lncRNA from 1 species